rnacentral:rRNA from 1 species
UACAGAGGCCUCGAGCGUUAGGCGGAAUCACUGGGCUUAAAGCGUGUGUAGGUGGAUGCCUAAGUACCUUGUGAAAUCCCAUGGCUUAACCAUGGAAUUGCUUGGUAUACUGGGUGUCUUGAGCCACUCAGGGGCUACUGGAACAAACGGUGGAGCGGUGAAAUGCGUAGAUAUCGUUUGGAACGCCAAAGGUGAAAACAGCUCGCUGGGGUUGUGCUGACGCUGAGACACGAAAGCCAGGGGAGCGAACGGG